CCUACGGGAGGCAGCAGUGAGGAAUAUUGGUCAAUGGACGCGAGUCUGAACCAGCCAAGUAGCGUGAAGGAUGACUGCCCUAUGGGUUGUAAACUUCUUUUAUAUGGGAAUAAAAUGAGCCACGUGUGGCUUUUUGUAUGUACCUUAUGAAUAAGGAUCGGCUAACUCCGUGCCAGCAGCCGCGGUAAUACGGAGGAUCCGAGCGUUAUCCGGAUUUAUUGGGUUUAAAGGGAGCGUAGGUGGGUUGUUAAGUCAGUUGUGAAAGUUUGCGGCUCAACCGUAAAAUUGCAAUUGAUACUGGCAGUCUUGAGUACAGUUGAGGUAGGCGGAAUUCGUGGUGUAGCGGUGAAAUGCUUAGAUAUCACGAAGAACUCCGAUUGCGAAGGCAGCUUACUAAACUGCCACUGACAUUGAGGCUCGAAAGUGUGGGUAUCAAACAGGAUUAGAUACCCUAGUAGUC
rnacentral:rRNA from 1 species